UUAUUGGGGUUAAGUCGUAACAAGGUAUCCCUUACCGGAAGGUGAGGAUGGAUCACCUCCUUUCU
rnacentral:rRNA from 1 species